rnacentral:rRNA from 1 species
UACGUAGGUGACCAGCGUUGUCCGGAUUUACUGGGCGUAAAGAGCGCGCAGGCGGUCGUUCAAGUCGAGUGUGAAAGCCCCCGGCUCAACUGGGGAGGGUCACUCGAUACUGAUCGACUUGAAGGCAGGAGAGGGAAGCGGAAUUCCCGGUGUAGUGGUGAAAUGCGUAGAGAUGUGGAGGAACACCAGUGGCGAAGGCGACUCUUUGGUCUGUAACUGACGCUGAGGCGCGAAAGCGUGGGGAGCAAACAGG